rnacentral:rRNA from 1 species
GACGUAGGGUGCGAGCGUUGUCCGGAUUUAUUGGGCGUAAAGAGCUCGUAGGCGGCUCGUCGCGUCGACCGUGAAAACCCGCGGCUUAACCGCGGGCUUGCGGUUGAUACGGGCGGGCUAGAGUUCGGUAGGGGAGACUGGAAUUCCUGGUGUAGCGGUGAAAUGCGCAGAUAUCAGGAGGAACACCGAUGGCGAAGGCAGGUCUCUGGGCAUUAACUGACGCUGAGGAGCGAAAGCAUGGGGAGCGAACAGG